GACGAACCGUGCAAGCGUUGUUCGGAAUCACUGGGCUUAAAGGGCGCGUAGGCGGCCCGGAUAGUCUGUGGUGAAAGCCCCCAGCUUAACUGGGGAAGUGCCAUGGAUACUGCCGGUCUGGAGGAGGGUAGGGGCAUCUGGAACGCUGGGUGGAGCGGUGAAAUGCGUUGAUAUCCAGCGGAACUCCGGUGGCGAAGGCGGCGCGCUGGACCUCUUCUGACGCUGAGGCGCGAAAGCCAGGGGAGCAAACGGG
rnacentral:rRNA from 1 species